UUGAGUGCCUACCAUGUGGAAGAGAUGGUGCCGGGUGGUGCUUACAGCGUCCCUUGAAGAGCAUAUGAAAGCCUGGACAUCAGCAGCUCACUUCCUUACGGCCUGGGUGACAAAACAUGUACAGAUUGAAAGGAGAGAGGACCUACCUGCAUGUGUGCCCCAGCCAGUGGGACCUGAUGGGAAGGUGGCCCUGCUUGGCGCCUGAAGACUGCGACCUUGGAAUGCAAGAACAGAAGUGCAAGGUGCGGGUGACAAAGGUGCCAGCAGGUCUCAGAUUACAUGCCUGACAUGGAUUCUUCCCGGUUGCUAAUCCCGUGGUGUGCUGGCUCCCACGGGGCUCCAAGGAUGCUCCCAGUGGCCCAGGAGCAAGCUACCUGACUCCCCAGACUCUCCCUCAAGAGCCCCUGCAGAGGGCCAAGACCCUCCCUGGAGGACAGUCCUCUGAGGAAUGCAUCAAUAUCACCAACACCACCUUUUAUGUUCCGGGAAACAGGCACAGAGGGAUUAUGAUGCCUGGCCGAGGUCACACAGCAGGUAGGUGGUAGAGCUGUGGUUUGAACUGAGGCAUUUGGGCCCUGCUGUCUCCACUGCUGAACUGCUCUGAGUUCAGGCCUUCUAAGAGAGGAAACUGACAAAGGGACAUUCUUUAAUUCAAUCAAAAGUAUUUGCCAAGUUCCUACUAAAGAAUCAGGAAAGAAGGUCUUGGCCCCACCUUGGGAUGCUUGCUGUGGGGUCCUGGGGAAGGGCUCCAGCCCCAGGCCUGGGAAGCUUGCUGAGACCUGGAGAAGCGGCCCAGCCUGUCACGUCUACCUCUGCAGCCCACUCGCCUGCCAGGCCGUUUGAACAAUGACUAACUGCAGCGGGCAGGCCGGUGCAGGCCAGGGCGGGCAAGGCAGGUGAGCUCACCCUUUGCACAACAGCUGCCACACCCGCCUGCCCAGCUCAAGGGCGACACAGAGGGGCAGGGCCAGGCAGGCUCCCAGAAGCUGGAGAAAUGGCCCUGUGAAGGACAGGGGACAGCCUGACUGGACAUGAAGAUGCAUUCCACCCCCUACCCCACCAGCCUCAAUAUUCCAAAAAGGCUGGUCUGGGAUGGUCUGAGAGGGGUCUUGGCUGAUCCGAGGGGUCAGUCAGCCUUGCAGUGUGCCCGCUCAGGAACCACACCCUCCACCUCCCUACUGUCGCCAGGUGGCUGUGGGGGUGAGGGGGAAGGCCUGGGCCUGACUGGGCUGCCCAGCCCCUCCUCACAACAUAUGGGCAUGGCGACCCCGAGGCUUUUCAAAGACUUUUCAGCAAUAAACACAGGGUGGGCUCCUCCUGACUGACAGGGUAGGUCCCGUUUUUGUUCCAGAUUCACCUGCCCAGCCUCAGGGACCGCACUGUCUGGGCCAAGUGCUUGGAGCGUCACAUCCUGCUUUGUCCCUCACAGGACCCCCACCCCCACCCCGCCCACCUCCUACAACCUGGUCUGAGAAGACCUGGUCUCCUCCUCAUCCUCUCAGGGCAUGAGACCGCUGCCCUACACCUCCCUCCUGCCUUCUUACAGAAAACCGGUUUGUCACCGAGUCCCUGCUCUGGGCUGGAAGAGCACAGAGGACACUCCUUGCCCUCAGGAGCAUAAGACCUUGUGGGGAUGGGCCCCGAACAAAGGGCGGAGAAUAGGUGAGAAGUUCCGUGGUGCAGGCCCGGCCCAGCAGCUGGGACGAUGAACUCUCCUACGCAGCAGCACUUUCUGUGUACCAGGCCCUGUUCCAAGCAGACCAUGGGUAUUAUUAUUUUUAUUCAUGGGCGUCACAGAAAGAUAUGAAGUGGAUCAUUUCAUGACCCCCAUUGUAGCUGAUGAGGGGAAAACCAAGAGAGAGAGAAACCGAGUAACUUGCCCAACGAUGUAAGUAGCAGGAGCAGAUUCAGACACAGGCACCUGUGCUCUCAGCCCCCACACUACGCUGCCUUUGACGCAACAUAGAGGAGAUGGGGAGGGCCUGGUGCAGCUUCCUAGACAGAAGGCGACGGUGUAGAGCUGGACCUGAGGUGGGAGUGGGAGUUUGUCAGAGAAGCACUUGAGGCACCCCAGACCCAGGAAGCAUAUCUGCAAGGCUGGGAGACCUGGGCAGCGAGCACCCCGGGGGGAGAUGGAAACAGGGGUUCAUGUCCUGACCCCUGCCUGGCGUGAGUCCCCCACAAUGAGCCCAUGUUCAAGUAUUAUCGGUGACAUUUAAAGGCACACACUAACACCAUAAAGACUGAGAAACACGGCAAAAAGCAACGCCCUGAAGCAGGAGUUGGCAAACAUUUCCUGUAAAGGGCCAGAUGGUAAAUAUUUCAGGCUUUGCAGGCCAUACUUUUUUCUGUCACAGCUACUCAACUCUACUACUCAGAGCAGCACAGACAGUAUGUGGACAAAUAGGUGUGACUGUGUGCCAAUAAAAGUUUGUUGAUGGACACUGAACUGGCGCAUGAUUUUCAACAUGCCACACACACAAAAUUUUUUUGUUAAAUGUUUCAAUCAUGUGAAAUGUAAAAAGCGUUUUUAGCUUGCAGGCUAUACAAAAACAGGCAUGUGGGGUGUGAUUUAUUCCUGGCCGCAGUUUGCUGAUCUCUAUGCUAAGAGCUCAGAGAGGUGAGUGCAUAUGGAGGCUUCAGAAAACUAGUUACACAGAUUGGCUGGAGCCCAGGAGUAAGGAGGGGGCUGGGCCAGGGCUGGAAGGGGCUGGGCCAUUCCCACGGGGCCUCACAGGCCCUGACAGGAUGUGCAGCCACAGCAGGGUCAGCCCCAGGCUUGGGCGUCAGGGUCACCAAGUCCUGGCCCUGAGAUCCAGGUGUUUGCUUCUCUGAGCUUCAGUUGCUUCAGU